AAUAGAUACCCCGGUAGUCCACGCCGUAAACGUUGGAUACUAGGUGUGGCGGUUAUACCAAUGACUGCCGUGCCGAAGCUAACGCAUUAAGUAUCCCGCCUGGGGAGUACGGCCGCAAGGCUAAAACUCAAAGGAAUUGACGGGUCCCCGCACAAGCGGCGGAGCAUGCGGCUUAAUUCGAUGCAACCCGAAGAACCUUACCUGGGUUUGACAUCACGGGAAAAGCUGUAGAAAUACAGUGUCCAUUAGGGCCCGUGACAGGUGGUGCAUGGCUGUCGUCAGCUCGUGUCGUGAGAUGUUGGGUUAAGUCCCGCAACGAGCGCAACCCUUGUCCUAUGUUGCCAGCGGUUCGGCCGGGGACUCAUAGGAGACUGCCGGGGAUAACUCGGAGGAAGGUGAGGACGACGUCAAGUCAUCAUGCCCCUUAUAUCCAGGGCUGCACGCAUGCUACAAUGGCCGGUACAACGGGCAGCGACCCCGCGAGGGUGAGCGAAUCCUAAAAAGCCGGUCCUAGUUCGGAUUGAAGUCUGCAACUCGA
rnacentral:rRNA from 1 species